CCCGUUUGUUCUCCUCCGACUUGUGUUCUUCUUCAUAGCCACGCUCCCUGUGGACUCAACGGAUCGAGCUCCACAGAGCAACGAAUCUAUAAGCUUCUGCUUUGUUCACUGUUGUGAUGUACAUUUCUAGGGCUUGAAACUCAUCCAAAUCAAACCUCAUUUGAGAAAUUUCUCCAGUUAAAGAUCAUCUUUUUUUCGUUUUCUCUUUUGGGAAUUUGGUGGGUUGUUAAAGAAGAAGAAGCUCAAGCAAUGUACAGUGGCUCAAGCGAUGGAGAAGGUCCUGACGCUACGGCGCAACGAAAGAUUCCCCCGCCAUCCUCAAUGCUUUGGGUUCGAAACCUCCGAAGAUACAUCGGAUCCGGUGCGGGUCUCGGGUCUGAAGCCCUAAUGGAGCUUGAAACAAAAAGAAUAUUGCUAGAUAUUUUUAAGGAGAAGCAACAAAAGAGUGCUGAAGCUGGCACAAUUCCUAGCUUUUAUAAGAAGAAACCUGAAGAGGGAUCUAUCAGUCAUAGGGUUCAGAGGUUGGCAAAAUACCGAUUUUUAAAGAAACAAUCUGACCUUUUGCUGAAUGCUGAUGAUUUGGAUGCUAUGUGGGUAUGCCUAAGAGAAAACUGUGUGAUAGAUGAUGCAACUGGUGCAGAAAAGAUGAACUAUGAAGAUUUUUGCCACAUUGCUUCAGUAUGUGCUGAGCAAAUAGGGCCUAAAUGCCG
rnacentral:misc_RNA from 1 species